CAUGAGAUCCGAUGGUUUUAAAAGGAGCUCUUCCCUCUUCGCUCAGCAUUCUCCUUCCUGUUGCCUUGUGAAGAAGGUGCCUUGCUUCCCCUUUGCCUUCCACCAUGAUUGUAAGUUUCGUGAGGCCUCCCAAGCCAUGCUGAACUGUGGGAGAAAAUAGGAUUGUCAGUUACUGUACCUCCUCUUCAUACUUGAGGGUAUCCCCUGAUCCUGCACAAAGAAAUGUCUCUUUGCCUUGAUGUUUCAACCCAAGGAGAGCAGGUUGGACCAUGUGAUCCCCCUGGCCCAACACAGCAGAAGUGAAAAUGUGUAGUAGUCUGUACCAUUCUCAUGGUAAUGUGAAAAUUUUCAAAAUUCAAACAGGGAUGCAGAAAAUGGGAGAAUAGAGUCUGAUCUCGACCAUCAGAGUAUAAGCCCAGACAUUCCAGUUAUAGUGUGAUGAAAAGAUGAUGAUUUUACAACUGGAGUUUUUUUUAAUGCUACAAUUAAACUAGUCUCAUUUAAAAAUAACAAAUAUAGUGACCCACUUCUGAUAAGACAUUUUCAUCUGGAGGUUAACAGCACCCCCUGACCCCACGGUGCCUCCAUGGCUGAGAAGUGCUUUUCCUUAACGUCUCCACUCUUGGGUCUUUGUCAACAAUCACAAGUGGCAAAUAAGAUUUAAAGACAUGCACCAACAAUUAUGAUUAUGGAAAGUUAUUAAUGAUAUUAAUAAUUCACACUCUUACUCAUUUCUAAUGAUGAUAUAAAUAUUACAAGAUGAAUAAAAAUGGAAUUCAAAAUUACACACACAUACACAGACAUUAAAAGGAGCUGGAAAGAAAUAUACCAACCUCUUGGUAUGUACUUGAUUGACAAUAUUAUGGUAAUUCUGAAGUUUUGUUUUAUACAAUCGUUUUGUGUUUUCUAAUUUUUCUACAAUGCUACUUUUUAAUUAGGGAAAAAAGAGUUUGUUUGUUUGUUUGUUUGUUUUAAAAAAAAGGCUGUUGCUAAGACUGAUUUUGCUGGUGGCCUAACAUGAGAUUUCUAAGGAGACUCCUUAGAAAGAGAUGAUGUUUACUCAAGUGAAUCUAUUCAAGGGUGUCUGCUUGUAAUGAAAUCAACUGUCUUUUUUGCCAUUGCUUAAAUUACACUAUGUAUGUUGAUAAUAUUAUAACUAAUAAGUAAAUAAAAGCAGACUUCACUGCAAAAAAAAGACAUUUUCAUCUGGAAAAGAUAGUAUGAUAUGGUAUACA
rnacentral:lncRNA from 1 species